UGAGGAAUAUUGGUCAAUGGGCUCAAGCCUGAACCAGCCAUCCCGCGUGCAGGAUGACGGCCUUAUGGGUUGUAAACUGCUUUUCUACGCAAAGAACGGGUCUUACGUGUAAGGCAUUGACGGUAGUGUAGGAAUAAGCAUCGGCUAACUCCGUGCCAGCAGCCGCGGUAAUACGGAGGAUGCAAGCGUUAUCCGGAUUCAUUGGGUUUAAAGGGUGCGCAGGCGGAGAUAUAAGUCAGUGGUGAAAAGCUGCCGCUCAACGGUAGUCUUGCCAUUGAUACUGUUUCUCUUGAGUAUGGAUGA
rnacentral:rRNA from 1 species